UUAACGUGUAACUUGGCAUGGUAGCUGCCCUGCAUUUUCAACCAGGAAACGGCGCCUGAAUUUCUAUUCGUAGAAUUAAAUGUUUAGCCCCUUUAAAGUCAAUCUGUUUGAAAGCUAUGGCUAACAAAUUCAGCCUACCAUUAAGCCUAGCAAUACGGUUACUGUUCUUCUCAAAAGAACCUGUUUGCCAUGCUAACUUUCUGGCUAGACGCCGACUUGGCUAACGCGCUAACUUACGUUAACGAUUAACUUUGCUAGCUAGGUGAAGUAACUUACAGAAAUCAACUUUGUGGUUGAAAAUGCAGAGAAACGAUCCAAUAUGCUGGAAGGAGCUGGAGUCAAAACACUCCAAAUUAAUUCUCCACCACACCUUCAAAUUUUGGCUCAAACAUGUAUGGAAAUAAAAUUGACCUGGUGGAGAAAAGAGAAGUUUCCACACAGAGGGCAGAAGAAUUUGCUGAUGCAGAGUAUGUGGUAUCUGGAAACGUCAGCCAAAGCGUCAGACAAUGUGGAGAAGCUUUCUUUGACCUGGCCUGUGAACUGAUAUGCAAAGCCAAACAGAAUGCGCUGAUUAACAAUGAGGCCUCUCCCAUGCCAAGGGAGGGAAAGACCAUCAGCUUCUUGAACUGCUGCAGCUUUAGCAAGCUUUUUGCCAGAGCCACAAUUUCUCCAUACUAAUUGCCAUUGAACCACCAUCACUCUCCUAAGACUCGGUUUUGGAGUAGCCAUGAUGCCAUGACACGUUACCUCUUAGUACAAGUCUGCUGGGUCUCUGGUCUUUGCCUCUAUGUGGAAGACGACGCAAAGGCAUGAGGUUUCCGGAAAUGGGAGUAGACUGUGAAAAAGGGACAAAGUCCAGAGGGUCAGAAAUGUCUGAUCCCAACAUGCACUUGUCGGUGCUGGGUUUCUGGAUCUUCUCUAUGGGUGUUGAAUGAUCCCCACAUUUAUGCAGAAGUGGACGACAGCUCUUCAAAAGCUUCAAUGUACUGUAUUCUGAUGGUGGCGUCACUGUUUUGUCUUCUUCCUCUACAAUGCCGACACUGUUUUGAUAGCUGCCAAACAGAUCGGCGGAGGCAUUGUAGGCGUCUUUGGUAAAGGGUUGUCUGUUCAACAGUGUUUGCUCAUCCCAUCCAAACUCCCAAGAUGCACCAUGUCCAUCUAGCUUAUGUUCAGAAAUGCAUUGGUUGCUAUGGAAAACUGUGCCCUGCUUCUUAGCCUCCUCAUCCACACAACUGAAUUCUUUGAUUUUGUUUUUUACAUUGCGGUUACAUUGACCCUGGGCAGUCAAAGCCCUUAAACCUGGCACCAAGGGAGCCAAGUCCCCCUUUCCCCUCUCCAGAUCUUCUGAGGCCUCAACAAAAUGAUCUGAUGGAGACAUGUGUACAUGUGGACUGUUUUGUUUAACAUUAUGGUUUCCAGAUAUGUCAAAACAAAGCCCAGCAGACUUUAUGAAAGACCGCCGCACCACAGCUGUAGAGGCUUGCUCUUUGACCUGUGCUCUAUGUACAUAUGAAGUGGUUCUAAAAUUGCAUGAAUGUUCAGUGGAACUACUAACAUUUGCGUGCCUGUAUAUUUCAUCAACACAACCCGUUUUGCUCAUCUCUGCCUCCAUUCUCUUGGCUGGAUCACAAGCCUUGUUCUUUUGAGAUACUUCAGAGAGCGUGUUAGCUUUGCUGAUAAACUCACCCCAACUUUCAGAGAAAGGAAGAUCCUCCCAAGCUGAAGAAUUUGAUAAGUUGCUGUUCCACCCACAAACCGAUAAUCCGUCUUGGAAAGACAACAUGUCAUCUUUUCCCUCAGAAAACCCACCUCUCCACCCAAGUUUUAAACAGAGAGGUUCAUUUUGCUCAAGUUCAACUUGUUCAACCUUGCUAGGCUUUGGAGACUUACAAUUCCCAGACUCAGUGACUGAUGAUGUUAGUUCAAGAGUAUCAGGCAGUAAGGAGCCGCUGCCCUGGAACCUAUUUGGGAGUGAGGACUCGACAGUUUCUCUAGAGUCAUGGCAUACCAAAAAACCCAGACAGCUUCCUUGUGAAGAGUCUUUAUAGCUCACUUCCCCCUUAACAUCUACUGAGCAGCACUGAGGGGAUGGGACAUAAGAGGGUGUGCUAUGUGAACAUUUUUGAGUUUGAGGUCUGAGAGAUUUUCUGCACCGCCACUGUGAGCCGGCAUCAGCUCCAUUUGGUUCCUUCUCUUCCUGCUCUGCCGAAGAAGUGAUUAUCCCAGGUGACUGUUUCCAGUAGCUGUGCCACAAAGAUGAUCUGUUGAAGGAGGCCAAUGAGCACUCAAAGCUUUGCAAUGCCAGGUCAACCUGUUCUAUGGAGGCCGGAGGUCUCUCGGGGUACGGAAAACCAGAGACGUGAACAUCACAUGAUGUCUGGAGCAGUUUCUUGAAAUAACUGAGAACAGAGCUUCCCCCAGCAGCUCCAUUCGGCAAGGUGAUCCGACUAGUGACAAAUUCUCUGGAGAUCCUG